ensembl:lncRNA
GCGAUUUUAAAAACAGCAGAACAGGGGAACUAUGGGAAACACUGAUCCAGCACACAUGUUAUGCUCGUGAUAAGUUUAAUCACGUGUGCUGGAAUAGCAAACACUGUAAGAUCUGGAGUAAAGGGGCAGGAUUUGGAGGGAAACACUGGCUAAGGAAACACGUCCGGUGUCCGGCGCGAGCCAACGAGUCCGUGAGAGAGAGAGAGAGAGAGAGAGAGAGAGAGAGGGGAGCGCGAGAGCGGAAAGAGAGCAGAGCUGCCGCCCGCCACACGGAGAAGCGCGCGCGCACACGGACGACAGAAGAUCUAUUUGUUUCGUCCAGCGGACCUUAUAUUCGUGUUUGAGGAAUAUACUUUGAAUUUGCGUGGGGAAUUUUCUGUCUGCUUUAAGACUCUGUGGAGAGAAAACAGGACACGUCAGAAGAGAGAGAGAGAGAGAGAGAGAGAGAGGACGCGGCUGGUGUUCAGAGCGAGCGCGCGCACGAGAUACAGCGGGGAACAGAGAACCUAGAGCAUCAAUGCAUGGAGAGAGCACCAAGAGCUUGACUCAAUCAACAGACCACAGGUCGUGACUGUCACUCCAAAACAAAACCAGCAGGAGGCUGUAAUCUGAAUCACCUAUAUGUGUGUAAGAAAUGGUCCAUGAGCACUGUGAAUGGCAAUCUGGGAAAAUAUGCCACUCCUUGUGGAAUCACAUAAUGACUGCUCUCAGUAGGUUUCAUUAUAGCAUUCAUAAACUCAGUCCUGCAGCUUUUCAAUAGUAGCUUUACAAUUUGCCAUAUGCUCGAGACUGGGGGUUUAUUUUGGUAUGAUAAUACACAAUAUUAAGAAUAUUUGAAUUAGUUAUAUGAACUCAAUAACUUAUUGUGGUUACACUGGUGCCAAAUAGGUGUGAACAGUUCUAGCAGAAAUAAAAAAAUAUUGUAGCAUGUACAUGAAAACACCAUCAAAAUAUCUUGAAUAUAGGCAACUAUAUCAACUAAUACUUCUCUUUAUUAGAUUGUUUUUAAACAAACUUUUCAAGAUUUUCUUUUCCAAUUCUUUUCUAAGCUUGAAAUUGUCUUAUUCUAUUUGCAUAUGGUUUAUUUCUAGAAGCAAAACAAUCUGCCAAUAGAAUAUAGACAAUUUUAAGCUUGACAUUAAUAUACUGUUUUAAAUGUAUUGUUUACUUAGUGAAAUGCCCACAUUAAUUAAUUGGGGUGAAAAUGCCCACAAACCAUUAAGCCAUGUGUGUGCUAUGUGUGUGCUAAUUAAUAAAGACAAGCUUAAGGAAGAAACAAAAACUGCAUUCUUAAAGUAAUUAUAUUCUGAUACUCUUGCAAACUGAGAUAAAAACCUAAGCAAAAAAAAAUCAUGAUUUGAAUUAUCAAGGCUUACAAAUGCCUUGUUGUUGGUAAGUGGCAUAUUGAAGAGCAACGCAUUGCAUUGGACAGGUAUCAAACCUAGCAUUUAUCAUAUAUUUACCAUAUAACCCUACUACAUGGUGUUGUUUUAAAUUUCGUUCAUUAUGCAAGGAAACCUGCUGUAAUAUUUUUAUUGACUGAUAUUAAGCCUGUUUAUAAAGUGUAACAUAUGAAAAUAUACUCUGUAGGGUGGCACAGUGUUACAGAGCUUGGGUUACUGUCCAUAUGUAUUUUCUGUGCAUGUUCUCCCUGUGUGUGUGCUGGCUUCCUCUGGGCUCUCUGGUUUCCUCCUACCUCCCAGAAAUAUGCCAGUAGGUGGCACAGACAGAAUGUGUGUACAUGGUGUCCUGCAGUGGAGUGACAUUCCAGUCUGGGUGUGGCUCCACCACCAAACUGACCAGUAUAAAGCAGCUGCUGAAGAUGAAUGAAUGAAUGAAUAUAUGGUAUAUCCUUAAACAGUUCUUUAUAUUGAGAUGUGCAUUAGACUAGGUUUCUUUUUUUUUCAUCUUCUAUAGCAACAAGAUUUGUUCUUUGAAUGAAGCAGCACUGUCAGCUAAUGUAGGAAGGGGAAGCUUUGUACUUUUCAGCCUGACGUUAAAAUAACCAAGGCUUUCACUCCAAAACUUCUGAGCUCCUUUUGAUCAGCAGCAGCUAAGGCAAAGCAUGCUGCAGGCUUUUUUCAGCAACUCUAUACUAGAGGUGAUGUCAUGAUUCAGAGAUUGUUAGCGCUUUUUUGAGACACUUUUUACAGUACCCUCCACUAAUAUUGCCACCCUUGGUAAAUAUGAGCAAAGAAGGCUGUGGAAUUAUUAUUAUUUUUAUUGUUUAACCUUUUGAUCUUUUGUUAAAAAAAAUAUUUACAAAAAUACUCUGCUCUCAAGGAUAUAAAAAAAAUUGCAAACUUUGUUAAGUAUAUGUGUGCAACAAUUACUGGCACCCCGUGAAUUCAUCCAUCCACCGUCUAUACCAUUUACCCUUCAGGGUCACAGGGAAACCUGGAGCCUAUCCCAGGGAGCAUCGGGCACAAGGUGGGGUACACCCUGUGCAGGGUGUCAAUCCACCGGAGGGCACAAUCACAUAAACAUUCACACACCCAUUCAUACACUAUGGACACUUUGGACAUGCCAAUCAGUCCAAGGAGAGGAAACUGGAGUACCCAGAGGAAACCCCUGCAGCACGGGGAGAACAUGCAUACUCUGUACACACAGUGGCAGGAAUCGAACCCCCAACCCUGGUGGUGUGAGGCAAACGUGCUAACCACCGUGGUCCCCCUAUGAAUUCAUAUGAGAAAAAUAUAUUUGAAGUAUAUUCCCAUUGAUAUUUUACAUUUUUAAGUACUUCUGGGUGACUAGAAACAGGAAAUUGUUCAACCAUGACUUCAUGUUUCACAGGGGUAUAAAUAUGAGGUAACACACAGGCCAAAUUCCCUUAGUCAUUCAUCACAAUGGGUAAGACUAAGGAAUAUAGCUGUGACAUUCGGCAAAAGGUUGUUGAGCUUCACAAAAUGGGAAGUGGCUAUGAGAAAAUAGCACAAGCAUUGAAAAUGCCCAUUUCCAUCAUCAGGGCAAUAAUAGGUUCCAGUCACUUGGAAAUGUUAUUAAUCAGCCAGGAAUUGGACGUGUGUCUAUAUUGUCUCAACAUACUGUGAAGAGGAUGGUUUGAGGGGCCAAAAAAUCUCCAAGGAUCAUAGCUGGAGAAUUGCAGAAGUUAGUUGCGUCUUGGGGUCAGAAAGUCUCAAAAACUACAAUCCGAAGUCACCCACAUCACCACAAGCUGUUUGGAAGGCUUUCAAGAAAAAGCCUCUACUCUCAUCCAAAAACAAACUCAAGGGACUUCAGUUUUACAGACACUACUGGAACUUCAAAUGGGAUCGGGUUCUAUGGUCAGAUAAAACCAAAAUAGAGCUUUUUGGCAAUAAACACCAGAGGUGGUUUUGGCGCACACAGAGAGGUAGCCAUAUGGAAAAGUACCUCAUGCCCACGGUUAAAUAUGGCGGUGGCUCUUUAAUGUUUUGCGGCUGUUUUUCUGCCAGAGGACCUGGACAUUUUGUUAGGAUACAUGGCAUGAUGGACUCAAAUAUCAAAUAUCAACAGGUAUUAAAUGAAAACCUGACUGCCUCUGCCAGAAAGCUUAAAAUGGCUCAUGGUUGGAUCUUCCAGCAGAACAAUGAUCCAAAACAUACAUCAAAAUCAACACAAAAAUGGUUUACUGAAAAUCAAGGUCCUUCCAUGGCCAUCCCAGUCCCCUGACUUGAAACCCAUAGAAAACCUGUGCGGUGAAUUGAAGAGGAGAGUCCACCAGAGUGGACCUCGAAAUUUGAAGGUUCUGGAGAGAUUCUGUAUGGAGGAAUGGUCUCAGAUCCCUUGUAUUGUAUUCUUCAACGUCAUCAGGCAUUAUAGGAGAAGACUCAGAGCUGUUAUCUUGGCAAAGGGAGGUAGCACAAAGUAUUGACUAAAAGGGUGCCAAUAAUUGUUGCAUACCAAUAUUUAACAAAGAUUUUUUUUUUAAUGAUCCUGUGUUGUGUUUCCAAUUGUUUGAUAUCCGUGAGAGCAGAGUAUUUUUGUGAAUUUUUUUUUAAUAAAAGAUCAAAAGGCUAAAGAAAAAGACAAUUUUUCACAGCCUUCUUUGCUCAUAUUUACCAAGGGUGCCAAUAUUAGUGGAGGGCACGGUAUAUAAUAUGUAUAAUUUGUGUUACAGUGAUAGAAGCAGGUAGGCUGUCAUUCACUGACCUUCUCAUCACCUUUCUAUUUCUGCGGUAACCCACACAGCAUGGUCCUUAUGUAAGGAAUAAUGCUGCCUCGUAGUAAAGUACCUUGCAAGUAGUAUUUCAUUUCUUAUCAUGCACAAUUUGAAACAUUCAUCAUGAUGCUGUCUGUUGGUUGGAAACCAGAUGAAAUGAUUCAAAGAGAUAUCAGUGACAUCAACAGUUUCACUGUGAGCUGAAACUACUUUGUCUUGCGAAUUCUAUUAUCAACAUAAAAUAAAGGUGAUUAUAAAUAUUAAGCAAACCAAUUACCUGUCUGCAUACCUGGAUAAAGAUUAGGAUUGUUUGUUUAUCCUUCCUGUUGUUAAUAAACCUUAUGAGCAGCACUUGGGUCUCACUUCCUGUUCAGGCAAGUAGGUUAAUGGUUUCCUGAUUAUUAUUUGUUGUUGCUUAAUAACUUAAAUAAAUGCACCUCCAUGAAUAAUUAAAGAAUAAACACAGUAACAGGUGCUUUCAUUAGUAUGAAGAGCAAUUAGCGUUAUGAAUUCCCCCAACAACAUUGGAAAGAUUUAGUUAUUCUGUCUAUAUUGCAUGUCUGCAAAUCUUCAUUCUGUUGCAGUUAAGACAGAUGCACGACUGAUGAUCUUUUUAGAAAACUCCAAACUGUUAAUAUAUGCAGGAAAAGUGGUCAAAGCAAUGUGUUCAAAUAGACAUUGCUCAAGAGAGUGCACUGACAGGUUAUCUGGCUCACUCGACGCAAUCACCUAGUAAUGAAACGCAUUCGAUUUUAAAUCUAUGUCAUUUGAUGACAGUUACCGAUGUCAAUAAAAUUACGUUACUUGCAAAUUUAUUCUUAAGAAAACAAUAUUAAGUGAAAUGCAUUUUUAAAAUAAAUCACGUAUUGCGUGCCUGCCAGGGGCGUAACCUGGCCUGGGAAUUCGGGACUGUAUCCUGGAAGUUUUUUUUCUUUAGCCCUGAAUAAUUCUCCACUUGGAGUAGUCUGUCACUAAGUAACUGAACGACAGUAAAAGUGUUGUAAUUUUAUAUCUUCAGUGAACGGAGGCGAGACCAAUCAGACGGGGUUUACAGGAAAAUACGGAGAAAUACUCGUGUCUUGUUGGCUGACAGCUGACAGAUCUGCCAAACGCUAGCUCACAGUCAGUGUAAGGAAAAAUGGAUCUAGACCAAUUUUUUAAACCAGUAAAGGAGUUGAAAUUGAAACAGUAGCAUCCUCUGAUGCUGAGCAGGAAAACAAUGUGUAUAAUUGUCUAUAUGAGUCCCAGUUUACUUGAACGUGAUAUGAGCAGAGCAUAAGGAAAGAUAAUAUACUUUGCAUGGCUCUGUAGCAACUAUAGACCCAUACAAUGAUAGCUUAGCUCUGCCUCCCCUUGGCUUGCGACACCAAACUAGCCUAGUUAGAAUUUUUUAUUUUUUUUUUAUUGGUAUGGUAGUCCUACAAACAGUGACAACACCCGAGGCAAGUGUCACAAUAAAUCCGACUUUUUCUGAUCAUGUCGUACAUUGACGCGCGCUAAACUUACUGAAAGAACCAUGAGUUUCACUUUGUAGUGUAUUUUUGUAAUUAGUAAUCAGAUUACUUUUUACAUACAUAAUCAGUAAUGUAAAUAGCAUUUAGUAAUUUGUAGUGGAUUACUUUUUUUUGAGUAACUUACCCCACACUGGUCUCAGCACCAUAAUGAUCAUACAGUUUUAAAAGAUGACUCUGAAUCUCAGCUGAGCUGUUUGUGGCGAGUUCAAUUUUUCAGACUGAAAAAAAAAACAUUUCAGAGACGCAUUUUGAGAAUCUAAUUUAUUCCUUAGCUAGACCCUGUGUACAUAUGCUCUGUUCAGAUGAUUGCAGGUCUCCAUCAUUUCUUUCCACUAUACAUAAAAUGUCCGAAAAUACACAUAAAGUAUCAACAUACAUAUACAUAUUGCUACAUAGACUUUGUUACCAAUGUCUAAAUAUAUCAAAAUAUGUAUUUAUACCAAAUCUAUAAUGACUGUAUGAUAAUUUUUGUAUCUUAAAAGUGAAUUUUACUGCUGAGUAACCGGGAAUUCACAUUGGAUGGCAUGCACUGAUCAUCCUUUCAAUCCACAUUGCAUUCACACACUAUACAAGUGUGUAAAAUAACUCAGCUGGACAUGUGGGCUCAUGAGUCUUAUAAAGUUAACGUGGAUUGAAAUGUUAAUUAAAAAUAGAUGCAUAUUUGUUUUGUGUUAUGUGUCUGCUGUGGCCAUAAAAUUAGAACAUGGGGUGUUCAUGGGAUCUUAAACUUUUUUAAACAUUCAAAUGUGCAUGUGGAUUCCUUUGAAUUGUCUGAAAAGGACUAAAACUACGAUUUUACUACGGAAAGUACGGAUUGCAUCCGUCCUUACCUCUGUGACGUGACAUGAAUAUAGACAUGCCAUGCAAAGGUUCGUAGUUCAAUAAUAUUGUUUUUUGUUUCAAGGCUUUUGAUGUACAAUUGGACAAUUGAUAUUAAAUAACUCCCACUGCACCUCAAAUCCUCCCCUUAAUUCAUUUUGCUAGCCUGCACUUCAAACAAGUUCCCACACAAUAUUCAGGGUAUUCCAGUGAGAACAAAUCAGUGGGAUUUAAUAUAAACGCAGCUGUAAUGAAGCUAGUAGUGUGUGUAUAGAUUUUUUUUAAAAAACAAUGCGCAUAGAUAAAUAGAAAAUUUGAUGAAGGGUGAUGGAAACAUUUUAGUAAUAAAUGUCAGUUUGUGAUAUUGAGACUGCACUACUGAGCUCAGUCAAUCCUGUGAAAUCCUUUUUUUUUUUACAGGAAUCUAUACUGUUCUCAAAGCUUCUCCAAAAAAAAGCCUCCUUUAGAAAGCACACCACACACACAAUCACAUACACAGACAUACACACAACAUUGUCACUACCUCUACAUUUUGCAUUGGAGAAAAAAAACUCCAAACUAUACUGGUAAGUCUGUUACCAGAACCUCAGUGCUGUCAGAUUUACCCUGAAUAUCCUCCAAAUCUGUAAGGACCUCACCCAUAAUAUUGUGGGAAAACAUCACAGACCUUGUGUGUUUUUCACCUCCUUGGGCUUGCACAUCCGAUCUGCCAAACAGCAUCCUGAUUAGAUCAUCUGAGCAAAUGAGAAUAAGUUGACUCUCCAUUUACACUUGUUAAACCCCGCUUGGAGAGACAAAGACAUUUGUAUGAACUUGAGAUUUGAUGGACUGGAUUCUUGUUUGUAAUCUCUCAGGCUAGAUCAAGUACACUCGUGCAUUUUAUGAGCCAUUUUUUAUGGAGGAUCACUCAGAUGGUAAAUAGAUAGGUGUUGGAAUCAGAGGCUCUGUAAUACUCUGCUGGGGAGAAUGGUCCAUCUUCAACCUUGACACGUCCCAGGGAUUGUAACUCCUGUAUAUGUAUUAUAUCAAAACCCUUUAGGUUCACAAAAUAUCCCAUCAGGUCUGACCCAUUAAAGCUUUUUUAUACAGUGGUUUAUGGGUAUGACUUUUGGAUGCAACAGGAUACUCAUAAAUAUGUGUUUAUUGGUUGCUCAAAUUUGUGUUGGCCUUUUGCAAGUAGUAUUAAGGUGUAGGGCUAAAAUAUUAAGGGUUAAUUAUUUAGUCCACUGCUCUUCUAUGACCAAAGACGGAAAUAGGUGCAGCUGACGGUUGAAUGCAUGUUUUAAUUUAUUAUUUAUAUAUCUGACUCCAUUUAAUUAAUUAUCUCACUCCGAAAGAUAAUCUUCUAGUUAGUGCUGAAAGUAUAACACAAGAAUGUUGAUCUGAGUCGCGGCCAUCGGAUGCGUGAUGUUAAAGCAUUAAUGGCAAAAAGCCCUAAUGGUAAAAAGGCACUUCUCAUGUUAUAAGCCCCUUCCUUGAUGUUACAAGCCAGCCCUUUUAUACCCCUGAGCCUCUUUGAAAUGUAAGUUACCAAGAUACCAAAUGGGUAUGAACCAGCGUGUUUUAUGGCAGCAUGGAACCCAGCUGCUUUGGAACUAUAUGUUAGUUCAGUUCCUGAGAAUGAGUCAGGGUGUGUGUGUGUGUGUGUGUGUGUGUGUGUGUGUGUGUGUGUGUGUGUGUGUGUGUGUGUGUGUGGAGAAAAAGCACAUAUUGCAACAUAUAUUGUAAAUGUUGUUUCCUAAACCUGUAUGACAUUUAUAUCACGACAUCGUUCACCAUGAAAUAUGGAUAAAAAUGAUACCAAACAUGCCCUGAGGAAUACUGUAAUUAAACCAGUUUUGGUUUACCUGGUAUCUCUGAAACAUAUUCCUGAUCAUUUUAACCUUAAGCAAAUUACUGCCACAAUUUAUAAAUCUUCUGCAAAUCUCUCCUCCGGGACGUAUGAAUGCAGAGCCAUUUUGACAGCCCGAGAGCAUGUGUGGCAGUCAUCGUUGGUUGAAGGGCAUUGUGAUUACAGAGCUGACCAGGACAUGACUCCUGAAGAUUCAGUUCCACCUGGUGUCUUCCGCUGUGUGGAAUCAUUGAUCUUGCUGUCUAGUUUUCACUCUGUUUCACCUGAGGUCAGUUGCCUGGUAUGGGCUCCUGUGCCCUCCCAACAGGCAAUGUCUCUCCUUCCAGCAGAAAGAUGAAUCAGUGUCCAGUGGUACUCUUGUCCAAGACACAUGAAUGUCCCAUUUUCAACUUAUUCCUUACUUCCAUUCCGGGAUGCAGGAGACCCCCAUAUUUCAAAGUGGUCCUGAUAUAUUUCCGUUAGACACAUAUUGCAACUGACAGCAUACACAUGACAUAGUAUUUUAUUUCAAGGAAAAAACAAUGUGGUGAGUAUUUUUUACCUUUAAGUGAUGUAACCAUUUGGUCCCAUUUGAUAACCGAUCCUUGAUAAUGAUCUCUAAUACAUUAUUACAUUUUUAAAAAGUGUUGCAAAAUUUGGAAAACCCUGUUGCUAAACCAGGGAGCCAGAAUUCAUAAUAAUAGUAAUAAUAAUAAUGUGCAAGUUGAAAAUAGGCUCUAUUAAUUAUCCUGUUGCCACAGAGGUGUAGCCCCUCUAAAUACUGUGGGGAAAAGCAUUACAAGUUAAAAUUCAACAGUCAGCUCUACUCCUGAGUAGGUUUUGUUGGUGUUAUUUAUGGCUGAAAUAAACCAUACAGUGGCGUUAGGAGAAAGGUUCAACAUAGUUAACACAUGAGUCUUGAAUACUCUAAUGACUAUUUAUAGAUAGAUUUUAUAUAGAAUAGAUAAUCAUUAUUCCUGGUCUCCUCC